rnacentral:lncRNA from 1 species
GGUGCUUCCGUUCAUUGAUUUGGUUGUUUUUCCCUUUUCCGUUCAGAUCAGCCAUGACUUGGGAUAAUACUUCUAUCCAGCAAGAAGCGCUUGGGCUGGGAGCUCGAGCUCAAGUAGAAUGUCAAAAACAGGGGCUCUAUCUGCUAAUGGGGUAGCCGGCAAUGUAGCUGGCUACUGCUCAUGUGAUUUCUGGAUAUGAGAGGAUGAGAACUUGAGAAGAAUAAGCUUGAUGCUAUGAUUGCAAAAAAAUUGUACUACAGGUAUUCCUUUCAGUACUGUUGCAGCAAACCUUAAUUGGCUACUUUUUUAUGAACUGGUUGUGAUUGAUUUGUGAACUUUAGAGCUUGUGAGUUGUAAUUUGUGAUUUCAUAGGAUGCUUGAAGGUCAAUACAAGGCUAUAUUAAAUGUAUCCACAUAUCUGUGCUUUGAGACGAGGGACAACCCUGAGAACUAGCUUCAGGUUCCAUAAAAAGUCCAAAUAAUCAUACUAAUGUUUCAGAUUUUUAGUUAAGCAUUGUAGAAUUCUUGCAAACAUAGGUGUAUAUUUAAUCUUCAUCCUCUGAACCAGGUGAGAGUGGAGACACACCAUACACAGGCUCUGCAAGUGGGCGGAAAUAGAGCUCUUCGCCGAUGACUUCUACGAGGACGAUAUUGACCUAGAGGCUGGAGCUUUGCUACUCUUUCCGGUCAACAACAAGGUAUCGUUUACUUUUUCUCUCCAAACAUCCAAUCCUUCCCUGUUCCUAUCCCUCCUGCUUAUUUCUUGCUAUAGGGAAACACACUGCAAGUGUUUGUUAAUUUGUUAGUCUCAAUGCUCCAAUUCUAGCAGAAGGAUUUUCGGUAGGAAGACAUGGCAUCAAUUAAGGAUUUUCGGUAGGAAGACAUAGCAUCACUCAUGGUUGUAUAGAUUUACUAUUGUAUUUCUGUAUUUUUGAAAAAUUAGUCUGUAAAGCUUGUAGAUUAUUUUAGUUCUUAAGUGGUUUUACACUUAGGCUUGUAUUAACUUAAAACUUAUUUUCUCCAUAAUUUUGCAACAUUAGUUAUGUAAUACUUGUAAUACUUAGUACAAUUGUUCUGAAAUCAAGAUAAAAUACAUAUAUAUCUAGCCAUUUAUAUUUUUACAGUCAUGCUUCUAAAGAUUUUACAGUUUUAUUUUCACUAUAAAUUUGCUUCAGUAGUUCUGUAACUUCCAAAAUAGUGCAGUUAAGAGGUUUUCCUCUUAGGCUUGUAUAAACUUACAACAUCUUUUAUUUGUAAUUUUGGAACAUUAGUUCUGUAUAGCUUUAGUUUAGUUUAUGGAAACAAGAUUAGAGGAUGGUCAUCAAUUUAAUCUAAUUUGUGGCACUGAAGUACAUAUGCUUUUCUCCGAUGCUUUAUGAAUAUAAUAGUCAGGUGCAAUGUAAGUUCAGAUGCUUUUGUUUGGUAUUUUACAGGUCCUCACGUGCUUAGUACUGCAUUUAGAAAUGAUUGUGAAUAGAUUCUUCUCCUUGAAAUUCAUUUCUAACAUAGGGAAAGUAUGUAUAACCUCCUGAUGUACGUGGGUUUUUGAGAAUGCUUUUCCCAUGCCAUGCUGCACUCAUCAUUGAAACUCCUAGCUGCGUAGUAGAUAGUAAUCAUUUUGCCUAAUGUAUUGCCGUCUAGUGCAGCAAAGUGCGGUCUUUUCCACCCCAGAGAAGAAAAACAAAGAAAACUAGUGGUCUUUUCUUCAAAAAUGACUUUCAUGUGUCCAUUGGUGGAUGUGUUGCUCCCAGUAAUUGUGUGUCUGGAUAUGCUAAAAUGUUGCCUUGUGGCUAGAUGAUGCAUAUGCUCCUUUUCCAUUUAAUAUACUUCCUCGUCUGCGGCUUGAGGAGAUUGAUACAUGCUAUAUGGUGGGUUGUUGUGGCAUUGAUGCUUUAUUAUGUCUAACACAUCACAUAUUCUAAUUAGAACAUGCCAUGUUUUUAUAAUACUAAAAUCCCAGUUUGUUUUUGUCACUAAUGCUUUAUACAAUUAUUAUUUUUGACAUUAUCUCUAUGAAUGCAUGAACUCACCGGUGGCCCUUAUAUCCUUUGUAGGAAUGACAUAAAAGAGGACCAGGAAGGAACCAUGAAGAUAGCAGUUUGCGUCAACUAGACAUUUUGUGUAAUGGAGCAAAAACAAUGUGUCUUUUAGUUAUCAUUUUGCAAACCUAUAUGGUGUCUUGUCAACUAGGUAUUUUGCGUAAUGGACCAAACAAUGAAUCGUCGGACAUGCAUCUGCCAUUUUGUAAACUAAUUAGGUGUCUUGGUGAUUGAAACAUAAAUGUUUCCUCCUUUCAGUUAGUUACUUUUACCUAUAAGAAUAUUCUUCUUUGGUUAUGGUUUAAUAUUUUCAGAGUACAUGUGAGAUAAUCAACUUGUUUGAUAUU